GUUAAGUUAGUUUAUUUUUAAAACGUCAGCCUGUGGAUUUGAAAAAAGGAGUUUAUUCCUACUUAACC
rnacentral:tRNA from 1 species